rnacentral:rRNA from 1 species
ACGGGUGAGUAACGCGUAUGCAACUUACCUGUCAGAGGGGGAUAAUCCGGCGAAAGUCGGUCUAAUACCCCAUAAAACAGGGACCCCACCUGGGGUUAUUUGUUAAAGGAUUUAUCGCUGACAGAUAGGCAUGCGUUCCAUUAGGUAGUUGGUCGGGGUAACGGCCCACCAAGCCAUCGAUGGAUAGGGGUUCUGAGAGGAAGGUCCCCCACACUGGUACUGAGACACGGACCAGACUCCUACGGGAGGCAGCAGUGAGGAAUAUUGGUCAAUGGGCGAGAGCCUGAACCAGCCAAGUCGCGUGAAGGAUGACUGCCCUAUGGGUUGUAAACUUCUUUUAUAAGGGAAUAAAGUGCGGGACGCGUCCCGUUUUGUAUGUACCUUAUGAAUAAGCAUCGGCUAACUCCGUGCCAGCAGCCGCGGUAAUACGGAGGAUGCGAGCGUUAUCCGGAUUUAUUGGGUUUAAAGGGUGCGUAGGUGGGUAAUUAAGUCAGCGGUGAAAGUUUGUGGCUCAACCAUAAAAUUGCCGUUGAAACUGGUCACCUUGAGUAUGUUUGCUGUAGGCGGAAUGCGUGUUGCAGCGGUGAAAUGCAUAGAUAUCACGCAGAACUCCGAUUGCGAAGGCAGCUUACAAAACCAUCACUGACACUGAAGCACGAAAGCGUGGGAAUCAAACAGGAUUAGAUACCCUGGUAGUCCACGCCGUAAACGAUGAUUACUAGGGAUUUGCGAUAUAGUGUAAGUCCUACAGCGAAAGCGUUAAGUAAUCCACCUGGGGAGUACGCCGGCAACGGUGAAACUCAAAGGAAUUGACGG